UGACAGGACACAGCCCCCUACGUAGUGUU
rnacentral:piRNA from 1 species